UGAUGCGAUCAUACCAAUACUAAUGCACCGGAUCCCAUCACAACUCCGAAGUUAAGCGCGCUUGGGCGAGAGUAGUACUAGGAUGGGAGACCUCCUGGAAAGUCCUCAUGGUGCACCUC
rnacentral:rRNA from 2 species